rnacentral:rRNA from 1 species
UUGCUUUCUCCGCCGGCGACCGGCGCACGGGUGAGUAACACGUAUGCAACCUGCCCCUGUCAGGGGGACAACCCGCCCGAAAGGCGGGCUAAACCCGCGUACAUGCCACCGGGGCAUCCCGGAGGCAGGAAAGGCUUCGGCCGGACAGGGAUGGGCAUGCGGCGCAUUAGGCAGUAGGCGGGGUAACGGCCCACCUAACCGACGAUGCGUAGGGGUUCUGAGAGGAAGGUCCCCCACACUGGUACUGAGACACGGACCAGACUCCUACGGGAGGCAGCAG